rnacentral:lncRNA from 1 species
GCACCAGAAAAAGUCUGACAAGGCCAUCGCGUAUAUACUAGACUUAAAAAUGCGUAUAAACUGAAACAACAUAAUAUUUAAGUAUUCUCAUUAAUAUCAAUUUACGUUUUGUAAGCCACCAUUCUAUUAGAGCAUCCACAUUAGAGCAACCACAAAAGGAGGACGUUAGAUGGCUCUUAGAGCAUAAUUUGAUAAGAAAGAAAAAAAAAGUUUAAGUCAUGUAUUUAGAGAGAACCGGCUCUCGUUUAGGAGAUUUGUGUUGAGGGAAGAGGCGCACAGGUGGUAACUUUUGAUAGGUGUAGGUGUAAAAUAGAAUUGAAAAACAAAUUCAUCUAUUUAUUUUUUCUCUCUUCUAUCUCUCUCUAUCUUUCUCUUCUCUCUCUUUCUUUCUAUGC